rnacentral:tRNA from 1 species
GCCCGAAUGGUGGAAUGGUAGACGCGGUGGACUCAAAAUCCACUGGUAGCAAUACUGUGUCGGUUCAAGUCCGACUUCGGGCACCA